CCUACGGGGGGCAGCAGUGAGGAAUAUUGGUCAAUGGUCGGGAGACUGAACCAGCCAAGCCGCGUGAGGGAUGAAGGUACAGAGUAUCGUAAACCUCUUUUGUCAGGGAACAAAGGCGGGGACGCGUCCCCGGAUGAGUGUACCUGAAGAAAAAGCAUCGGCUAACUCCGUGCCAGCAGCCGCGGUAAUACGGAGGAUGCGAGCGUUAUCCGGAUUUAUUGGGUUUAAAGGGUGCGCAGGCGGUCUGUUAAGUCAGCGGUAAAAGCCCGGGGCGCACCCCCGGCCCGCCGUUGAAACUGGCAGUCUCGAGUUGGAGAGAAGUAUGCGGAAUGCGCGGUGUAGCGGUGAAAUGCAUAGAUAUCGCGCAGAACUCCGAUUGCGAAGGCAGCAUGCCGGCUCCACACUGACGCUGAGGCACGAAAGCGUGGGUAUCGAACAGGAUUAGAUACCCUAGUAGUC
rnacentral:rRNA from 1 species